rnacentral:rRNA from 1 species
AACGUGUCGCGAUGGAUGACUUGUCUUCCUAUUUCGUUGAAAAACGCAACAAAGUGCGAUAAGUGGUAUCAAUUGCAGAAUCAUUUCAUUGCCCAAUCUUUGAACGCAAACGGCGCAUGGGAGAAUCUCUCUCGAGCCAUCCCCGUGCAUGCCACAUUUCUCAGUGUCGA